CCUACGGGUGGCAGCAGUGGGGAAUUUUGGACAAUGGGCGCAAGCCUGAUCCAGCAAUGCCGCGUGAGUGAAGAAGGCCUUCGGGUUGUAAAGCUCUUUUGUCAGGGAAGAAACGGCUGAGGAUAAUACCUUCGGCUAAUGACGGUACCUGAAGAAUAAGCACCGGCUAACUACGUGCCAGCAGCCGCGGUAAUACGUAGGGUGCAAGCGUUAAUCGGAAUUACUGGGGGUAAAGCUGGCGCAGGCGGGUGAAAUCCCCGGGCUCAACCUGGGAAUUGCGUUGGAGACUGCAAGGCUGGAGUCUGGCAGAGGGGGGUAGAAUUCCACGUGUAGCAGUGAAAUGCGUAGAGAUGUGGAGGAACACCGAUGGCGAAGGCAGCCCCCUGGGUCAAGACUGACGCUCAUGCACGAAAGCGUGGGGAGCAAACAGGAUUAGAUACCCCUGUAGUC
rnacentral:rRNA from 1 species